rnacentral:rRNA from 1 species
GUAGUCUGCAACCCGACUACAUGAAGCUGGAAUCGCUAGUAAUCGCGGAUCAGAAUGCCGCGGUGAAUACGUUCCCGGGUCUUGUACACACCGCCCGUCACACCAUGGGAGUCGGAAAUGCCCGAAGUCAGUGACCUAACCGUAAGGGAGGAGCUGCCGAAGGUGGAGCCGGUAACUGGGGUGAAGUCGUAACAAGGUACC